rnacentral:rRNA from 1 species
CCCUUAGAUGUCCGGGGCUGCACGCGCGCUACACUGACUGGCUCAGCGUGUGCCUACCCUACGCCGGCAGGUGCGGGUAACCCGUUGAACCCCAUUCGUGAUGGGGAUCGGGGAUUGCAAUUAUUCCCCAUGAACGAGGAAUCCCCAGUAAGUGCGGGUCAUAAGCUUGCGUUGAUUAAGUCCCUGCCCUUUGUACACACCGCCCGUCGCUACUACCGAUUGGAUGGUUUAGUGAGGCCCUCGGAUCGGCCCCGCCGGGGUCGGCCCACGGCCCUGGCGGAGCGCUGAGAAGACGGUCGAACUUGACUAUCUAGAGGAAGUAAAAGUCGUAACA